AACGCGCGUCCGACAGAUCGUCGUCGAGCCAAUCUCUUAAUUCCGAUGCGAUCGCGAAUACAUUUCCGCAUUUUAUGGAGCUCCGAAAAGGUAUAUCGCGCGCGCGCGCGCGCUCGCCCGCCGAAUCCUCGUAAAUACAUUCGACGCCAUUUCGCGAAACACGAUCCGACACGUUCACGCACACAUACAUGCACACGUACACGCACACGCGCAGAUCCACCGUACAACUCGAAAACAACAUCGUCCGUGUCGGCUAAUCUGCAGGCCGGUGGACGGCCGUCGUACAUAUUCGAAAUAUCGCGCGCGAGAAUCUGCGGUAAUAUCUAAACGCCAUACCAUACGCAUUCAGCAAGACUCCUGCGGUUAAGAGCGCCGAGGACACCCACAUCAAUUAUUCGAUGCUCCGUACCCUUCCGCCGUCGGCAUCAAAAUGGACGAGUGCAAUCGACUGCAUCAGAUAAAUCGAUGCGCGCGCAGAGCGCCUACAUCGAAAUUGACUAUCGGCAACUUCACGCAAUUUAACGAUGUGUUAGGUUAAAGUUCUCUGGGACGCGAGAGGUGCGAAACCGCGGCACGUCCAGCGCCGCUGUAUGUAAAUGCACAAUUCUGCUCCUAUGUUUCUCUACUUUUCUCACUGACUCGCCGAUUCUCCUGCUCCUUUUUUCCCGGUGAGCCCAUGAGCAACAGAUUCUCUCACAAGAGCCGGUUCUACUGGUUUCCAGGUUAGAUUCGCGGACAAUGUUGCCGCGGUAGCGCGAGAAUUCGACACUUUUAUCGAUUGUCGCCGCCGUAUUAUCUCGAGGAACGUGGUUUUGCUUGUAAGGUCGCCGAUUACGGCCUUAGACGAAAUCCGCCGGCGACGUGUGUUAUUUUCGCACGGUGCAACACGAACCGCUAAUGUUUGAUUUGCGAUCCUCAUUUUUGCUGACUCGAAGAAACACAGAAGUUAAUAUCUUACUAGGUGCUUUGAUUUGUGCGUAACAAUAGCCGAAAAUAGGAAACGACAAGGAAAUCGCUCGUUCAACUUCCUGUCUCUUACCACGAUACGUGAACAUCACCCGGCAGAAGCUCAGUCGCCGAGGAAGCUCCGUUUCCCCCAUUUCCGUCGCCGAUUCGCCCUCCAUCGAGUCGACGAAUAAAUGGAAGAACAUUAGCUGCGCUCACGCUGCUGCUUACCGCGGCUCGUCGUCAUUCGCCAUUUCUCGAAGCAGAAAACGAGCGAGAGGCGAUGGCAUACGGAUCAAUUUCGUGGACAUCAAUAACUUUUCGCUUCUCUCACUCAACGCUCGAAACUUCCACCACACAUCAUAUCCAGGUCCAGAAGAGAAAAAGAUUUAUUCGCCGUCAUGAAGACUUGCGGCGAUGUUAAAAGGAGGAAGUUGAAUUUAUAUUCAUCUAGGAAUUCAUAUAACUGGAAGGAGAGACACCUGGAACACGCGGGCCACUCUGUAGAUACGCGGAGUAUACGAGGGCGCACGAGGUGCAUCUAAAUAUUCAUACGCGAUGCAUCACCCGUUCCACCGCGUUGCGCGCCGCGCGCAGCAGCGUGCAGAUAUGAAAAUUUAGCGCAACAAAUGUUUAUAUCCCCGUGGCGAGCGAGCCGGCGGCUUGUUAAUGCGCGUACGUCGUACAUACCUGCCGGGUGGAGACUUAAUUAAAAAUCGAGUUCGCCGGAAUACCGGAGAGGUGGAAUAAAUUUCGCGUACACGAGCCAUUAAUUAGAGCGCUAUCGCGCGCGCUACCUCUGCGACGCGCAUUUUCGUGUUCGUAUUCAAGAUCAAAAGAGGCCCUUUGAAAAGACACAGUAGGAAACACAUUUGUCAUGCGUGUAUGCGAUACCGGCGAUGAAAUCCAAGAUAAACGUGACGCGUUUUCAUCAGCAGACGUGCCAAUGCAUGAACAUUGGCGAGAAUCGUUGCAAUUUAUAAUAAUAAUCCUAUAUUAAAAGAUAAUCGCGAUGUAAGACACACACCGCAUACGUGACUCAUGCCGCGAUCAAGAUCGGGCGAAAAAAAAAAGAAAGAAAGAGGAGAAAAAAGAACGGCCGCUCCGUUUCUCGCUGUUCCGCAACGGGGCGUGUUUUACGACGCCGGUGUCUCUCUCGUCUCGUAUUCUCCGCGCGCGGUAUCUCGCUGCUACGAUCUGGCGCACAUUGUGCGUGCCUCCUCUAAGCGUGUACGCUAUUGUUUCUGCUGACGUUUUGACACACGCGAAAAACCGCGAUUUACGCAGCGGCGCGCUCAGACGCGCCCACGCGGUGCACGAAAAUUUCCGAGAUUAUCGAGAAGCCGAAGCACUUCCAGUCGCCACACUAAAUUAGCGUGCGCGUAUUGUGCAAAAGGAAGAUUAUUGUCUCGCGCGAAACCGCGAGUAAUUGACCUUUACCGAGCGUUACUUAAUCCAUAAACGACGCGUACUUCGCGCAGGAAGUCUCCAAUUAUUCAAGGAUCCUUCAGCUGCAAAUCCGCGAUUUCUCGCGGCUUGAAAAGAAUCGGAGAUUCCGCAAGGCCGCACGUGUGUGAAGUUGGCCCCGCACUUUUCGAAUUUUGUAUUUUUUUUAAUUGUACUUACUGCAUUGUACUACGUUUGUGCCGUAUUGUGCAGCAAUCCGCAACUCUGUAACUCAAAGCGUACUCAAGAAAAUUAAGAAAAACUAAAUUUUUGAUAG
rnacentral:lncRNA from 1 species